GAUGAACGCUGGCGGCGUGCCUAAUACAUGCAAGUCGAGCGAACAGACGAGGAGCUUGCUCCUCUGACGUUAGCGGCGGACGGGUGAGUAACACGUGGAUAACCUACCUAUAAGACUGGGAUAACUUCGGGAAACCGGAGCUAAUACCGGAUAAUAUAUUGAACCGCAUGGUUCAAUAGUGAAAGACGGUUUUGCUGUCACUUAAAGAUGGAUCCGCGCCGCAUUAGCUAGUUGGUAAGGUAACGGCUUACCAAGGCAACGAUGCGUAGCCGACCUGAGAGGGUGAUCGGCCACACUGGAAGUGAGACACGGUCCAGACUCCUACGGGAGGCAGCAGUAGGGAAUCUUCCGCAAUGGGCGAAAGCCUGACGGAGCAACGCCGCGUGAGUGAUGAAGGUCUUCGGAUCGUAAAACUCUGUUAUUAGGGAAGAACAAAUGUGUAAGUAACUAUGCACGUCUUGACGGUACCUAAUCAGAAAGCCACGGCUAACUACGUG
rnacentral:rRNA from 1 species